CCUACGGGGGUCUGCAGUGGGGAAUUUUGGACAAUGGGCGAAAGCCUGAUCCAGUCAUUCCGCGUGCAGGAUGAAGGCCUUCGGGUUGUAAACUGCUUUUGGGAACAGCUCGGUACCGUCAGAAUAAGCACCGGCUAACUACGUGCCAGCAGCCGCGGUAAUACGUAGGGUGCAAGCGUUAAUCGGAAUUACUGGGCGUAAAGCGUGCGCAGGCGGUUAUGUAAGACAGAUGUGAAAUCCCCGGGCUCAACCUGGGAACUGCAUUUGUGACUGCAUAGCUAGAGUACGGUAGAGGGGGAUGGAAUUCCGCGUGUAGCAGUGAAAUGCGUAGAUAUGCGGAGGAACACCGAUGGCGAAGGCAAUCCCCUGGCCGUACUGACGCUCAUGCACGAAAGCGGGGGAGCAAACAGGAUUAGAUACCUUGUAGUC
rnacentral:rRNA from 1 species